rnacentral:rRNA from 1 species
CCAGACAGCCAGGAUGUUGGCUUAGAAGCAGCCAUCAUUUAAAGAAAGCGUAAUAGCUCACUGGUCGAGUCGGCCUGCGCGGAAGAUGUAACGGGGCUAAACCAUGCACCGAAGCUGCGGCAGCGACACUGGUGUUGUUGGGUAGGGGAGCGUUCUGUAAGCCUGUGAAGGUGGCCUGUGAGGGUUGCUGGAGGUAUCAGAAGUGCGAAUGCUGACAUAAGUAACGAUAAAGCGGGUGAAAAGCCCGCUCGCGGGA